rnacentral:rRNA from 1 species
CCUACGGGAGGCAGCAGUGAGGAAUAUUGGUCAAUGGGCGGAAGCCUGAACCAGCCAAGUAGCGUGCAGGAUGACGGCCCUACGGGUUGUAAACUGCUUUUAUACGGGAAUAACGCGCCUUACGUGUAGGGCUUUGCAUGUACCGUAUGAAUAAGGACAGGCUAAUUCCGCGCCAGCAGCCGCGGUAAUACGGAAGGUCCGGGCGUUAUCCGGAUUUAUUGGGUUUAAAGGGAGCGUAGGGCGCAUGUCAAGCGUGCUGUGAAAUGUUCGGGCUCAACCCGGGCCUUGCAGCGCUAACUGGCGUGCUUGAGUCCGCGGAAGGCAGGCGGAAUU